rnacentral:rRNA from 1 species
GUAUUCUAAGGCGCUUGAGAGAACUCGGGAGAAGGAACUCGGCAAAUUGACACCGUAACUUCGGAAGAAGGUGUGCCCUAUUAAUGUGAAGCGAACAGCGGAGCAUGAACGGGUUGCAAAGAAUCGGUGGCUGCGACUGUUUAUUAAAAACACAGCACUCUGCAAACACGAAAGUGGACGUAUAGGGUGUGACGCCUGCCCGGUGCUGGAAGAUUAAAUGAUGGGGUGCAAGCUCUUGAUUGAAGUCCCAGUAAACGGCGGCCGUAACGAUAACGGUCCUAAGGUAGCGAAAUUCCUUGUCGGGUAAGUUCCGACCUGCACGAAUGGCGUAACGAUGGCCACACUGUCUCCUCCCGAGACUCAGCGAAGUUGAAAUGUUUGUGAUGAUGCAAUCUCCCCGCGGAAAGACGGAAAGACCCCAUGAACCUUUACUGUAGCUUUGUAUUGGACUUUGAACAGAUCUGUGUAGGAUAGGUGGCAGGCUUUGAAGCAGGGUCGCUAGAUCUUGUGGAGCCAACGUUGAAAAACCACCCUGGUGUGUUUGAGGUUCUAACCUAGGUCCAUUAUCUGGAUCGGGGACCGUGCAUGGUAGGCAGUUUGACUGGGGCGGUCUCCUCCCAAAGCGUAACGGAGGAGUUCGAAGGUACGCUAGUUACGGUCGGACAUCGUGACGAUAGUGCAAUGGCAUAAGCGUGCUUAACUGCGAGACUGACAAGUCGAGCAGAUGCGAAAGCAGGACAUAGUGAUCCGGUGGUUCUGUAUGGAAGGGCCAUCGCUCAACGGAUAAAAGGUACUCUGGGGAUAACAGGCUGAUACCGCCCAAGAGUUCAUAUCGACGGCGGUGUUUGGCACCUCGAUGUCGGCUCAUCUCAUCCUGGGGCUGUAGCCGGUCCCAAGGGUAUGGCUGUUCGCCAUUUAAAGAGGUACGUGAGCUGGGUUUAAAACGUCGUGAGACAGUUUGGUCCCUAUCUUCCGUGGGCGCUGCAGAUUUGAGGAAGCCUGCUCCUAGUACGAGAGGACCGGAGUGGACACACCUCUGGUGUAUCGGUUGUCACGCCAGUGGCAUUGCCGAGUAGCUAUGUGUGGAAGAGAUAAACGCUGAAAGCAUCUAAGCGUGAAACUCGUUUCAAGAUGAGAUCUGCCGGGGCCUUGAGCCCCCUGAAGAGUCGUUCGAGACCAGGACGUUGAUAGGCAGGGUGUGGAAGCGCAGUAAUGCGUCAAGCUAACCUGUACUAAUUGCUCGUGUGGCUUGACCCG